rnacentral:rRNA from 1 species
UAGGGAAUCUUCGGCAAUGGACGAAAGUCUGACCGAGCAACGCCGCGUGAGUGAAGAAGGUUUUCGGAUCGUAAAACUCUGUUGUUAGAGAAGAACAAGGACGUUAGUAACUGAACGUCCCCUGACGGUAUCUAACCAGAAAGCCACGGCUAACUACGUGCCAGCAGCCGCGGUAAUACGUAGGUGGCAAGCGUUGUCCGGAUUUAUUGGGCGUAAAGCGAGCGCAGGCGGUUUCUUAAGUCUGAUGUGAAAGCCCCCGGCUCAACCGGGGAGGGUCAUUGGAAACUGGGAGGCUUGGGUGCAGAAGAGGAGAGUGGAAUUCCAUGUGUAGCGGUGAAAUGCGUAGAUAUAUGGAGGAACACCAGUGGCGAAGGAGGCUCUCUGGUCUGUAACUAACGCUGAGGCUCGAAAGCGUGGGGAGCAAACAGG